CGAACGCUGGCGGCGUGCUUAACACAUGCAAGUCGAACGGAAAGGCUCCAGCUUGCUGGAGUACUCGAGUGGCGAACGGGUGAGUAACACGUGGGUAAUCUGCCCUGCACUCUGGGAUAAGCCUGGGAAACUGGGUCUAAUACUGGAUAUGACCUUUCUCCUUAUGGGGUUUGGUGGAAAGUUUUUCGGUGUAGGAUGAGCCCGCGGCCUAUCAGCUUGUUGGUGGGGUGAUGGCUUACCAAGGCGACGACGGGUAGCCGGCCUGAGAGGGUGAUCGGCCACAUUGGGACUGAGAUACGGCCCAGACUCCUACGGGAGGCAGCAGUGGGGAAUAUUGCACAAUGGGCGGAAGCCUGAUGCAGCGACGCCGCGUGAGGGAUGACGGCCUUCGGGUUGUAAACCUCUUUCAGCAGGGACGAAGCGUAAGUGACGGUACCUGCAGAAGAAGCACCGGCUAACUAUGUG
rnacentral:rRNA from 1 species